ACGCUCGACACCUACGGGAGGCAGCAGUUGGGAAUAUUGGACAAUGGAGGAAACUCUGAUCCAGUGACGCCGCGUGAAGGAAGAAGGUCUUCGGAUUGUAAACUUAUUUUGUCAGGGAAGAAAAAAUGACUGUACCUGAAGAAAAAGCACCGGCUAACUACGUGCCAUCAGCCGCGGUAAUCUGAGCGGGCUGGCAAGGC
rnacentral:rRNA from 1 species